rnacentral:misc_RNA from 1 species
GGAAGGAUCAUUAAAGAGAGCUCCGGCUCCUUUCAUGCCAUCACCAAACUGAUGUUCUCUUCUUUGUUGCUUCCACCCAUAGCGGCAGGUUACAUGCUUGCUUCAGCGGGUGGAAGGUGUAUUUCAAAUCACAUUUAUUGUUCAAGCCUGUUAUUUUGUCUGAAUUAGAGGGAAAAUGCUUCAAAACUUUCAACAACGGAUCUCUUGGCUCCUGCAUCGAUGAAGAACGCAGCGAAAUGCGAUAACUAAUGUGAAUUGCAGAAUUCCGUGAAUCAUCGAGUCUUUGAACGCACAUUGCGCCCCAUGGUAUUCCGUGGGGCAUGCCCGUCUCAGCGUCAGUGAAAAUAUAUCAACUCCUAGUUUUUUUUUAAAAAGCUAGGGAUUGGAUAAGGUCGGGGAAGCUGCGGCCUUGAAUGCCGCAGCUCUUUGAAAAUCUAUGGAUGUUCAAGCCAUCAUGCGGGGAACGUGAUGAUAAUAUUUUCGUUCUGCAGCUGUUUACUUGGAUCUUAACAAAACUCACAUGCCUCUGGCAUUUUUUCAAUGUUUGACCUGAGAUCGGGUAGGGAUACCCGCUGAACUUAAGCAUAUCAAUAAGCGGAGGAAAAGAAACCAACAGGGAUUGCCUCAGUAACGGCGAGUGAAGCGGCAAAAGCUCAGAUUUGAAAGCUGGCACUUUCAGUGUCCGCGUUGUAAUCUGUAGAGGAGUGUUCGGGCGUGGCUCUGGCCCAAGUUCUUUGGAACAGGACGUCAUGGAGGGUGAGAAUCCCGUUCAUGGUCGUUGUCCUAUGCCCUUGUGAACCUCCUUCAAUGAGUCGAGUUGUUUGGGAAUGCAGCUCUAAAUGGGUGGUAUAUUUCAUCUAAAGCUAAAUACCAGCAGGAGACCGAUAGCGCACAAGUAGAGUGAUCGAAAGAUGAAAAGAACUUUGGAAAGAGAGUCAAACAGUACGUGAAAUUGUUGAAAGGGAAGCACUUGCACCCAGACUUGCCCACGGUUGAUCAGCCGCCAUUUUUUGGUGGUGCACUCUGCCGCGGGCAGGCCAGCAUCGGUCAGAGCGGUGGGACAAAGGUGUGGGGAAUGUAGCUCCUUUGGGAGUGUUAAGCCCUGCAUGUCAUGCCACCUGUUUUAACCGAGGGCCGCGCAUUUUGCGAGGAUGCUGGCUUAAUGGGUGUAAGUGACCCGUCUUGAAACACGGACCAAGGAGUCUAACAGCUGUGCAAGUGUUUGGGUGUAAAACCCUCACGCGCAAUGAAAGUGAAUGUAGGUGGGAACCGCAAGGUGCACCAUCGACCGAUCCUGAUGUUUUCGGACGGAUUUGAGUAAGAGCAUGGCUGUUGGGACCCGAAAGAUGGUGAACUAUGCCUGAAUAGGGUGAAGCCAGAGGAAACUCUGGUGGAGGCUCGCAGCGGUUCUGACGUGCAAAUCGAUCGUCAAAUUUGGGUAUAGGGGCGAAAGACUAAUCGAACCAUCUAGUAGCUGGUUCCGGC